UACGUAGGGGGCAAGCGUUGUCCGGAAUUAUUGGGCGUAAAGCGCGCGCAGGCGGUGGCUGAAGUCUAGUGUAUAAGCCCAAGGCUCAACCUUGGGAGGCAUUGGAAACUGGGUGACUGGAGUACCGGAGAGGAAAGUGGAAUUCCACGUGUAGCGGUGAAAUGCGUAGAGAUGUGGAGGAACACCAGUGGCGAAGGCGACUUUCUGGCCUGAAACUGACGCUGAGGCGCGAAAGCGUGGGGAGCAAACAGG
rnacentral:rRNA from 1 species